rnacentral:rRNA from 1 species
AUGUCGGACGUCGUCGAUCCCCUCGACUCCCUCCCCUCGGCGAUCCUCGCCGAUGUCCUCGGCCGCGUCGCGGACGCCGGGGACAUCGCGGCUUCCCGCCUCGCCUCGCGCGCGCUGCUCGCCGCCUCCUACCACUGCCCCCGCGUCCGCCUCAGCGCGGCCGCCCGCGCGCGCCGCCUCCGCGGGCGCGGGGGCGGGGACGGCGCGACCGCCUUCCGCUUGGCCGCCGCGAACGUCGCCUCGCUCCUCGGGACGCACCUUCGCUCCCUCGCGCUCGACGCGUCCCAAGGGCAUGGCUGCCCCGAUCAAGCGAUUUGGGCGAAGCACGCGGAGUUCGACGAGGCCAACGACCUGCACCUCACCAGCGGCGAGUCCGUGGCGGCGUGGGCGGCCACUGCCGCUGGCCUCGUCCUCCGGGAGGUGGACAUCGUCGACUUCUGGCCGCAGUCGUGCUGGCGGAAGGCGGAGGCGCUCCCCGUCAUCUCCCGUUUAUGUCAUAAUCUUUCAACACUGAGGCUGAGAAAGGCAUGGCUAUCUGUUGAUGGGCUCAGGAUAAUGCCAAAUCUGACUCAUCUGGCACUUGAGUCCAUUAGAUUAGAUGACGAGAACCUCAGCACAUUGAAUGAGUGCUUCCCUUGCCUUCAUACUCUCAAUCUUAUUGGAGUUGGGGGGCUCAAGGACCCCAAGAUUCACCUUCCUCAGCUGAAGAAUUGCCACUGGGAGGUAUCAGAUGUUCCACGGUCUUUAGCUAUCCAUGCCCCUAACUUGGUUUAUCUUGAGUUGAAGUGUGUUCGACCAGGAAUCCUCAUUCUAGAUACUCCAUCCGUGUCCACUCUCAAACUCACCAUAGAUAAACUUGGCCCUACCGUCCAAGUCGAUGGCCUUGUGAAUCUGAAAAACCUUCGGAUAGAGUCAUCGGAUCUAAAUUCCCUCUUGAGGCUGUUUUCAGAGAGUCGAGAUGUCAGGACACUAGAUCUUGAGCUACCUGCUUCUGCAGGCCGCAGUGAGCUUUACGAAGCGGUGGAGCCUGAGCUGUUUUCAAGAGCCACCGAAGUGAAGCUGUCGCCGAGGUUUUCAUAUGAACUGAUGAGGCGCAUUGUGUUCUCCAUGACCAGUUAUGACUGCCGAAGCUGUCUGAGGAAACUUCUGGUUCAUAUGCCGCCAUCCAUCCUUACUGCUUGCCCGUUCAUACCCUUGAUCAACAACUGCGCGCCGUUGUGCGAGGUGACUGUUCUUUUCCAUGCGGAUUCCAGUGAUGCCACUCGCCAAGCUGCUGCAUCCUCUUGGCCGCUGCGUUUUCCAGACAUCACUUGGCAAUGGGGUACUUGGCAGUAA